CCGGUCGUACUUUUGGUUUAGGUUAAAAAUAUAUGAAAAAAAAACCACACUCCGUCACCUCACACACACGCCUCACCAUUCUCUCACCUCACCCCUCCUCUUCCUGUUCCACGGCCAUCAAUGGCGGUGUGAGUCGACAACAAUCAACUGCGGCGGCUGAUCUUCGUCUCCGGUAACGAUUAACGACGGCGCAAGCACAGCUGAUCUGUGCGCUAGCUCAAGCUUGGCCGAUCUGUUGCUUGCUCGAUUACUCUUCCUAUAUUCACUCAGAGUCAACUGUUUGACAAGAGUCGAAGUCCAAGGUUUUUUUUUUAAUUGAAGUUUUAAUUUAAUUUUUAUUUUUUAACUUGGUUUAGAACAAAAAUUCAUUCUUUAAUUUUGAUUUUCUGAGAAGUUAAUGAAUAUAUAAUGAAACUAUGUGUCUCAGAUUGAGGUCGGGCAUGUUUAUAUUUGCGUAAUCCGGAUACAGGAACCGUUUCAAAUAAAUUCAAGGUAACAUUCAAGUUUAUUUCAUCUUCUUCUCCCAUUUGUAGUUGAAAAUUAUCUCAAAAUCUUUUAUUUUCUGUGGGAUUAUGUUUAAUUUUGAGAGUUGGGUUUUGGUAAUGAGAUUGUUUAUGAUUAGGGUUGUCCCUCUUCCUAUUUUAGGCUUUUCAAUUUCGCCCAAGUGGUUGAAAGCUUUGCUUUAAUUUGUUUUCAUUGAUAGUUAAUAUCAAAAAUUCAAAAAAGAAAUUGAUAAUAAGGCUUAUCUAUUUUGUUUUUGCAUAUUUUGAUAACGUUUCUUGUCCCCAUUUGUGGUUCCACUUUUGGGGUUGAUUUGAUAAUUUUUCAUGGUUGAAGAAUGAUCUAUUGACCAUGUUCACAAAUUAGAUAUAUUAUUUUUCAUCAAACUAAAACAACAAUGGACAAUUCUAGGGUCUGUUGUGCUGCAGUUCUGCUAUCAAAAUAGCUCCUGGAAGUUUUCAAGAGCAGUUUUGCUGGUGUUCCACUAUGAAAACAACCCUGGAAAUUUGGAUGGGCUGUUUUGCUGCUGUUCUGUGAUGAAAACAGCCCCGAGAAAUUUGCAGGGGCCGUUUUGCUGCUGCUCUGCUAUGAAAACAGCCCCUGGAAAUUUGCAGAUGUUGGUUUGUUGCUGUUCUUGAGGGACUAAUGAUGUGUUUGGAUCUUUAUGCAACAGGUGCAAGUUUCUCCGUGUUUUAGUCGACACUAAAACCCCUGCUGACUUCAAGUGGCUCCCUUGAAUUGGCAAUUGGAUUUGCUCUGGUAAGUAUCUUUUUACUUUCUAUCUCUCACUCUGUUUCCAUAUUUCUUCAUAUUAUUAGUUCUAGAGCUUUUUUCCUUUUAAUAUUUUUUUAUUUUUUAUUUUCUAUUUCUGAAAUACUUGCUGGAUUGUAGUUUCUACUGAUUUUUUUUUUUUUUUUGUGAAAUAUUUUAGCUAUUUGUUGAUAGGUUUAGUUUAGGAGUUAUAUUGAAGAGUUUGGUGUUUAAUAUUAAGAACUAAGUAAUAGGUAAUGUUGAAAGAGAACACAUGCUUAGGUGAUACAUCAGUACAAAUUGUACCUUGAAAUCAGUUGAAAUUGUCUACUUGCUUCUAAAGUUUUUUUUUUCCCCCCGUAACUAGCUACACUUUUUUGUUUGGCAAAGCCCAAAAGAAAAUGAAAAGGAAAUCACGGACACAUGUAAUGUUUAUUUUGUAUAAUUUUUUUUCUUUGUUGUUUGAUUGUAAUAAUGAUUAAUGAUUUUUGAAAUCGGGUGGCUUGUUUGCAGGAAACCGAGUUAAGCUGCUGAAACAUUUUGAGAAAUAUAAUAAAUUUUAAUUUAUUAGACUUGCUCUAUGCUGGCUCUAUUUCUAAGCUUCUUCAUUUUGUUACCGUUCCUUCUCUGCAAAGUAUAGUUUUAAUUCUUGUACAGCAGCAUUAGCUUUUUCUCUGCUAAUAUCUAGUGUCUUUGUGCUUUCUUCACAAAUUAAGCUUUUGAACUAUAACAUUUCCUAUUAUGCAGCAUUAGAGCACUAGUUGGCAAGUGAUCGAUAGUGAUUUUGUUGAUGCCUUAAAGUUGGAAUGAUUAUGUUAUUAAAUUCUAAUUUGUACAUGAAUAGAACCUAGGCUAAUCAAAGAACGUUAGUUCUUGUCUGUUUUUUAUUUUACUAAAAUGUUGUUAUAUAUAUAGAUUGAUAAAUUGCUGUUCCUUUCACUUGCAUAUGAAUUUGUCCUUUCGUUAUGAUUUUCAAAGGUUUGUUAAGUUCAUUUACAUGUGGAUUUUAUGGUAGAUUUUGUUAAGAUAAUCAUGUGCAUUUCUCUUUUGGUAUUAAUUGUGGUAUGCUUGCUAUGUCUUAUUUAUUCGUGGCAGGUUGUGACCAUUUUGAAGAGUAACAGGUCACUCUACAUAUAAGUCUUCUGAAUUUAAAGUAUGGUAAGAAAAAGACAGUCUCCGAGCAUUUCUCUAUUUGAAUUUUCUUUUUAGUCGAGUGCUUCUAGCAAUUUUUAUAAUAAUGCCUUUCCAUUGAGUAAUUUCUGUCAUUGGCAAUGGUUUUACUGCUUAUGCUUCAUUAUUUUCUCCUGGAUACUUAAAGUUAUCUUGUUAUAUGUUUGGGAAAAGUAUAAAUUCAAAAGUUAUGAUAGAAUUCUUUUGCUAGUUUCAUUAUUGCAUAGAGUCCUAUAUAUAUUACACAACUAGGAAAUAUAACUGCGCUUCGCACGGCUUUGAAAGAAAAUUUAGUAUUUAUCCUUUUUUCAAACAUCUCUCCCAACUUUCCCCAUAAAGUAAUCUUUGUUGUCACCGAGCUAUCCAUAAAAAUUAACAAAAGUUAAUAAUGUAAAAAGAAAAACUCAUUAUAAAGAUAUCGUAUUAUCAUUAAAUUCGAAAGUCUCAAAUUACAUUACUAUAUAGUUGGUUACUUUUUUUUAUUCCAAAUCACCAAUAUUUUUAUUCCUUAUUUCAAUAUGAAUAUUACCACUUGACUUUUUUAUUUGUGUUUAUGAAGAGGUGGGUGUGAGGAAAAAAAAUGUUUUUCUUAAGAAUUAGAACAAAUAAUUAGGCAAUAAUUCAAGGAAUUGAGGUUGUUCAUUCUACAUUCUAAUUGGAUUUAGAGUGAUUUUCAUUAAUUUUUUCUUUUACAUUAAUUAUUUUAACAGCCAAGUACUGUUGUUUAUUCUACUGUGUCUGUGAGAAGAUGCUUAGUCUACCUAGAACAUAUUUUCUAAUUAAUUUUUCUUGUGAAUACGUUGAAUAAUCUCUAAGGGCUAUACCCUUUUUCAUUGUACUUUUAAUGGUUUUUCUUCAACCAAUAUUGGAUGUAUUCAUUGAAAAAGAAAAUUAAAAAUUAGGUAAUAACUAAUAAGAUUAGUGCAGUCAAACUGUUUGUCAAUUCUUAUGAUAAAACAAUAAUUAAAAAAAAAGUUAUAGUUUUCUUGAUUAUAUUUAACUUACUAAUCUGAUAGAACUUUUAUAUCUCUUUUCUUCCAGCCACAACUCCAACGAUUUCAAUAUCACCCACACCAUAUAAAUUUCCGACAACAUUUGUAAUAUCAUGGAAAAAUAAUAUAAACAUGUUAAAAUAUAAGGAUCAAUAAUUUUUAAUAUACACUUAAAGAUUAAUAAAUAUUAAUAAUUAAAAUAAAUAAAUGAGAGGAUUGUGUUGUCAUUCACAUGUAAAUCAAUAAAAUUCAGAGAUACAAAUUGGAAUUCAUUGUUCGAAAUUUGAUCAGUUUUUUCUUCUAAUUUCUUAAGCAAAGUUGUAAUUAAGAAAAUAAUCUUAUACUGAAUUGAAAGUGGUCUGUACUCGCCUAAUGUUAAAAUAAUUUUUUAAUUGUUGACACUAUACAAAGAAUUCUCAUUCAACAUGUGCCUAAAUUUUGUCACUAAAUUUUUUCUGAUUGUUGUAUGCAUUAGAUUUUCCUAUAAAAAAAAUGCUACAUUAUGUGUAAAACUAUUGGCAAAAAAAAAAAAGAUAAUUAGAGAAAACAAUGGGAGAAGGAAUUUUUUAUACAUAUUUUUCAUUAAUAAAAAUUAUGUCUAUACUAAUUAAUUCUCUAUUCUUCUUGGGAUUAACAGACUUUCACAUCCUACAAAACUUAACCCUUAUGAUUCAAAUAAGUCAAACAAUCAAAACACAAGAAUCCUUCUAAAGAGUGUUAGCUUAUAUGACUGUAAAAUAUUGAUUUUGAUGAUAACAAAUUAUAUAUUUUGGAUAAAUAAAGAAUUAUACAUUAUGUUUUUAUAACAAGAAAAUAAUUUUAUAAAAUUAGUUAUUUUUCAAGUUGCGGACUAAAAUGAAAUUUUUUUAUCAUUUUUUAUUUUAACAAAUAUUGUUUUGAAUUUUAAAUUUGGACCUAUUUAUAAAUAUUUGAAACAAGUUGGGUCAUAUUAUAAUUUUUAUAAAUUCGGGUUUUAUCAUAAUUUUAGCAAGUUUUGGGAAUGACAAGCAUUAUUUAGAAAUUUAGAAAUUAGAUCUUUUUAUAAAGGUUUAUGACGUUUUAGGCUAUAAUAUAAUUUUAUAAAGGUUGGGUAAAAUUAUAAUUUUAGAAAAUGGUUGUUUCAUUGUAGCAAAGCGGCUAACCAGAUUCAGAAAGCAGCAAACUGGUUAUGGACAGAAACUCAAUUGAAUGAAAGUGGUUAAUCGGAUUUAGAAAGCAGUAAACUAGAUGUGCAAAAAUUUAAAUUUUUUAACAUAAUGGUAACAUAAAGUGGCAAGUUAGUUAUCACCAGAAAGCCAAUAACAGUUAGUUUUAUUCAAUUAUAAAUUGGCUCAAAUGAAAUUCAAUCUAUGUGAUGCAACUAUUGUUAUUAUUGAGCAUUUCUCUGCAAGUUUAAAGUAUAAACUUUGUGUAUUCAUUUCAUUUGGUAAGAGGAAAAUUUGUUAUUUAUGAGAAAUAUUCAUAUGCAUUUAUGCAUGAGGAGUCUUUUAAUAACAAACAAAUUUCCUCCUUUCAUUUGCUCUGAUACUAAAUGAAAUGUAAGUUACGCAAUCCAAGAGAGGGAGCGAAUUAUUAUUUUAAAACUUACGCUAAUCAAAUCAUAUAAUAAUUCAAUCUAAUGCCCUAAUAGAAUUGAAAAUAAUAAAUUUAAUAAAUCAUAAUAAUAAAAGAGUAAGAGAAGAGAAAACAAACAUAAGGAUUUUUACAUGGUUCGGCAAUUUCUGCAUACGUCCAUGCCUUCAAGCACACUGGACUUAAGGAUUUCAUUAUCCAAGCCUGACAAGGCUUCAAACGCUUACAAUUGGCUUUCAAGGUGUUAAUGGAUCUCUACAACAAGAAAUUAUCUUCAAUCUCUUAACAUAAGUGUAUCUUAACACUUACAAUCUCUCAAUUUGAUUUUACAAAAAAGAUUACAAAAAUUUCUCUCAUGCAAUGUGUUUGAAUACAAAUGAAAGCCCAAUAUGUGUGAAUAAAUGAAAUGAAUAUACAAAGUUUAUGCUUUAGACUUGCAGAGAAAUGUUCAAUAAUAACAAUGUUUGCAUCACUUUGAUUGAAUUUGAUUUAAGUUAAUUUAUAGUUGAAGAAGAAAAUUAGUCGUUAUUGACUUUUUGGUGAUAAUUGGCUUGCCGC
rnacentral:lncRNA from 1 species